rnacentral:rRNA from 1 species
CCUACGGGAGGCAGCAGUGGGGAACCUUGCGCAAUGGGCGAAAGCCUGACGCAGCAACGCCGCGUGCGGGAAGAAGGCUUUCGGGCUGUAAACCGCUUUCAGCAGGAACGAAAAUGACGGUACCUGCAGAAGAAGGAGCGGCCAACUAUGUGCCAGCAGCCGCGGUGAUACAUAGGCUUCAAGCGUUGUCCGGAUUUAUUGGGCGUAAAGAGUUCGUAGGCGGUCGAGUAAGUCGGGUGUGAAAAUUCUGGGCUCAACCCAGAGACGCCACCCGAUACUGCUUAACUUGAGUUCGAUAGGGGAGUGGGGAAUUCCUAGUGUAGCGGUGAAAUGCGCAGAUAUUAGGAGGAACACCGGUGGCGAAGGCGCCACUCUGGAUCGAUACUGACGCUGAGGAACGAAAGCAUGGGUAGCAAACAGGAUUAGAUACCCUGGUAGUCCAUGCCGUAAACGGUGGGCACUAGGUGUGGGAAUUACUAUACGUACUACGUCGCGUCGCUACGACAUAGUAGCCGCCGUCGGUAGGUACGGUCGCGACGACGUAAACUACAACGAAGUAGUACGCGNGAGACGNGCGACGACGACGACGAGGAGGUAG